rnacentral:rRNA from 1 species
GAUGAACGCUGGCGGUAUGCUUAACACAUGCAAGUCGAACGGAAGUCUUCGGACUUUAGUGGCGGACGGGUGAGUAACGCGUGAGAAUCUGGCUUCAGGUCGGGGACAACAGUUGGAAACGACUGCUAAUACCGGAUGUGCCUAAGGGUAAAAGAUUAAUUGCCUGGAGAUGAGCUCGCGUCCGAUUAGCUAGUUGGUGGGGUAACGGCACACCAAGGCAAUGAUCUGUAGCUAGGUCUGAGAGGAUGAUCAGCCACACUGGGACUGAGACACGGCCCAGACUCCUACGGGAGGCAGCAGUGGGGAAUAUUGGACAAUGGGCGAAAGCCUGAUCCAGCAAUGCCGCGUGAGUGAUGAA